UUUAUUUAAGGCAAAAGUCCAAUUAUACAUGGUUUGUGAAAAAUAAGGAAAGGGAAUCAAUCAAACGGCCAGUAAAAAUGAAAAUUGCAGGCUUUGUUCGAAUGAACCAAGUCAGGAAAAGGUAAAGGAGGUUCACUUAGAGAAAAUCAUUAACAAUUAGUCAAUCCCUAUUAAAAAGAAUCAAUAGUUGGCAAAACCUUUUUGAAAGAAGAAUUUCUCAUAUAUAAAGCACACAAAUAUCAAACAAGAAGGGUUGUCAUGCUGAUUAGAAAAGAUCAUUAUAGAAAUAGUUCAAAGUUAUAACAAAAGGUUCCAGUUCAAUUAAUAGACUCAAAAUGAGUCUGAGAGUCUAGGUUUCCAAAGUAGAACCCUAACCCGAACACCAAAUCGAACUUGCCA
rnacentral:lncRNA from 1 species